rfam:Ovis aries breed Texel chromosome 1, whole genome shotgun sequence.
UAGCUUAGUUGGUAAAGAAUCUGCCUGCAAUGCAGGAGACUCUGGUUCAAUUCCUGA